rnacentral:lncRNA from 1 species
AAUGAUUUAAACUGACUGACUACAGGUGUUGCUUUGAUAGAUAGGUCGACUGCAUCCCAAAUUAUACUCUAUUCCCUACUUUGGUAAAUUAACACUAAAUCAGAAACAUAUUUUUAAAGUCUGAAAUCCCUAAGUGACUUGGUUUAUUGAUUGUUCUCCAGUAACUGUGACAUCAGAUAAAACUAAUUCAGUCUCUCUCUAGUUAAGAUAUGGACCCAGAUAAAACUCAUUCAGUCUGUCUCUAGUUAAGAUAUGGACCCAGAUAAAACUCAUUCAGUCUGUCUCUAGUUGUUAAGAUAUGGACCCAGAUAAAACUCAUUCAGUCAGUCUCUAGUUAAGAUAUGGACCCAGAUAAAACUCAUUCAGUCUGUCUCUAGUUAAGAUAUGGACCCAGAUAAAACUCAUUCAGUCUGUCUCUAGUUAAGAUAUGGACCCAGAUAAAACUCAUUCAGUCUGUCUCUAGUUAAGAUAUGGACCCAGAUAAAACUCAUUCAGUCUGUCUCUAGUUAAGAUAUGGACCCAGAUAAAACUCAUUCAGACAGUCUCUAGUUAAGAUAUGGGCCCAGAGGUCAACUGAUAUGUUUAGCACUUUUAAAAUAAAUGUUUAGGUUAAAAGCUAAACUGACCUAAGUUCAGUGUCUUGGGGUGUCUUCAGUGGUCGCUAACCCUGGUCUAGAAGGGCUGCAGUGUGUGUGUGUGUGUGUAGGUUUUUAUUCCUGCCCGGCACUAACACACAUCAUUCAGCUAACCAAGGUUUUGAUGAUUCUGAUAAACAUAAAAGCAGGUGUGUUAGUGCUGGGCUGGACCAAAAGCCUGCACCCUGUACCUCUCCGUGACCAGGGUUGGCCAGCCUUGUCCUACAUGGUCUGAACAGAAGCACAUGUGAUGUGAGAUUCUUCCCAGGAGGUUUUCAUUGAUCAUCAGGAGGCUAUGAUAGAAUCAGAACUCUCUCAUUCUAUGGAGAGAAUUAGAAUUCUGUUCACUCCAUUCUGGAGCCUCUACUGCUACACAACCGGUUGUAUUCUGUUCUGUCACACUUCUCUUUCUCUGUUGUCUGCAAGGAGAUAUACUGUUCAUUCAAAUAUUCUCUAUUGAAUUUAAAGGCAAUAUUUUAACUUGGAUCAAUUACUGGAGAUGAUAUGAUGUAGAAAUGAAUAAAGUAUUUAAAAAUGUAAAAGAAAAUUGCAUGUCUGUUGUGUGUGUAUGUUUUCUUUGUAAAUGAAUGUCUUAUCUUUUAAAAUAUAUUAAUUCCACUACUGUUUAGAUAAUACAUUAGCUUCCAUGCCAUGCUGUGAACAUCAAGCAAAGAUAUCAGGCAGGAUAAGGUGGUUGAGGAGGUGUUUAGUCCAAUGUUUGGGGGGGUGUUUAAGCCUCUCUCACUGUGUUGGGCGGGAAGAGAACAACAGGUGAACAGAGAUUUUAAGGAUUUGCCAACCUGCAAUAUUUGAUCAUGUACAGUAGUCUACUGUUGUGAAAUGUGUAUAUCUGUUCCUCUGAUUAAGGCGGCAUCCUAAAUUGCACCCUAUUCCCUAUGUAUCGCAGCCCUAUGGAUCCUGGUCAAAAGCAGUGCAUUAGCGUGCUGUUUGGGGAAACGGAAUGAAGACACCAAUUUAGACCUGCCCAGACAUGGCUGCAGUCACAGACUGUCAACCAAGGUGGCUAUGAUGUCAUCUCAGUCCUGUGUAGUCUACACACCAGGGGCGUUUUAAUAGUUGUUAAGAGUAUUAAUCCCAGAUUAACCACUAGCCUGUGGCUCACAUAGGGAAUAGGGGGCCAUUUAGGGAUGCACACUAUGUAGUGCACUGGACCCUGGUCAAAAGCAGGGCACUACACAGGGAAUAGGGGGCCAUAUGGCUCUCGUACAGUAGGCUACUGAACAACUGGACAUUUGUAGGAUUAUCUCUGUGUUCAAGGUUUGACUAAGUAGUCCAACAAUAUUUAUCUACACUGAACAAAAAUAUAAAUGCAACAUGUAAAGUGUUGGUCACAUGUUUCAUGAGCUGAAAUUUUAAAAAAUCCCAGAUAUUUUCCAUAUGUGCAAAAAGCUUAUUUCUCACCAAUUUUGUGCACAAAUGUGUUUUUAUAUCUCUGUUGGGGAGCAUUUAUCCUUUGCCAAGAUAAUCCAGCCACCUGACAGGUGUGGCAUAUCAAGAAGCUGAUUAAACAGCAUGAUCAUUACACAGGUGCACCUUGUGCUGGGGACAAUAAAAGGCCACUUUAAAAUGUGCAGUUUUGUCACACAACACCACAGCUGUCUCAAGUUUUGAGGGAGUAUGCAAUUGGCAUGCUGACUGCAGGAAUGUCCAUCAGACCUAUUGCCAGGGAAUUGAAUGUUAAUUUCUCUACCGUAAACUGCCUCCAACGUGGUGGUGGUGUGCUGAGAAGUAUUUCUGUCUAUAAUAAAGCCAUUUUCUGGGGAAAAACUAAUUCUGAUUGGCUGGGCCUGGCUCCCCAGUGGCAGUGAUGCAAACUGGUGAGUCCCAAAAAGGUGACACUUUUUUGUGUUACACUGAAACAAAUAAAUCCCUGCUAGGUGGAAAUGCAGGUUUUAACUAAUUAAACAACAAAGAAUAUGAUCUACAUGAUCACUCUCUGUGUAUAAAAUAAAAAGUGGUUCAUGUGAACCUAUCUCAC